rnacentral:rRNA from 1 species
GGACAGACGGGGACAUUCGUAUUGCGGCGCUAGAGGUGAAAUUCUUGGACCGUCGCAAGACGAACUAAGGCGAAAGCAUUUGUCAAGAAUGUUUUCAUUAAUCAAGAACGAAAGUUAGAGGUUCGAAGGCGAUCAGAUACCGCCCUAGUUCUAACCAUAAACGAUGCCAGCCAGCGAUUAGCCUGAGUUCCUUAAAUGACUCGGCUAGCAGCUUCCGGGAAACCAAAGCUUUUCGGUUCCGGGGGAAGUAUGGUUGCAAAGCUGAAACUUAAAGGAAUUGACGGAAGGGCACCACCAGGAGUGGAGCCUGCGGCUUAAUUUGACUCAACACGGGAAAACUUACCUGGUCAGGACACUGGAAGGAUUGACAGAUUGAGAGCUCUUUCUUGAUUCAGUGGGUGGUGGUGCAUGGCCGUUCUUAGUUGGUGGAGCGAUUUGUCUGGUUAAUUCCGAUAACGAACGAGACUCUAGCCUACUAAAUAGACUGCUCAACUUUAUAGCUGCAUCACCUUGCAGUUGCUUCGGUGGCUGUAAGGCUGUGGUGACGUUGGCAGUGCUUCUUAGAGGGACAGGCGGCGGUUCAGCCGCACGAAACAGAGCAAUAACAGGUCUGUGAUGCCCUUAGAUGUCCAGGGCUGCACGCGCGCUACACUGAAGUGAUCAGCGUGCAAUUAACGUUUCCUACUCCGUCAGGAGUGGGUAACCCGUUGAACCUUCUUCGUGAUUGGGAUAGGGGAUUGUAAUUAUUCCCCUUGAACGAGGAAUUCCCAGUAAGCGCAAGUCAUAAGCUUGCGUUGAUUACGUCCCUGCCCUUUGUACACACCGCCCGUCGCUACUAC